CCUGGAUCUGCCGCAGCGCUGUCACCUUCGUGUCCUCCAGCUCCUGCUUCUGUGUCUUCGCAUCUGCCACGCAUGUGCGAUAGGUGGCCAUGGCCUCCUCGGCCUGAACGGAUGGCCUCCGCCUCUUGUCCAGCGUCUUGGAAGCGGCCCCUCCAGCCCCUGGCCCAGCGCUCUGCUGCUCUUCCUCCGCCUUGGCCACCUGAUGAAAACAGAGAGCCGCCCAGGCAGGAAGUAGAGCACCCUGGGGUGGCAGGAAGCACUGAGUCAUAAAUUAACAAGUCUGGAGAGCCCACACCUCACAGUCUGAAAGACAAAUACCUAAUCAUGAAGACCAGGACUGGGGUCGAGCUCAGAGAGAGAACUCAUGCUUGCACCAAAAGAAAAAAAAUACAACCUCAAAAAAGUAAAAAAGAAGGGGCACUAUGAGAUGGCUCAGUGGGUAAAGGAGUUUGCUGUCAAGUCUAACGACCUGAGUUGGAUGCCCAGGACUCAAUUAUAG